CUAGUCAUCAGAUCCCUGGUUAAGUGAAGACUAGGCUCAAAUUUUGAAGCUCUAGGUACUUUCUCCAAAGUGUCACUUCCUGUUGUAUCACUGCAUGCCUGUGAAGAAUGCUCAGAAACACCCAAUCUCACUGCUUUGUAGAAGCAUACAGCUCUGAAUCCUCAUAGUGUUCACAGGGACAUCAGGUGCAGAUGCCCCGGGUGCCAAGAGUGCAGAGCCAUGAUGAUGCCCAUCUCCAGGAGUUUUCUGUCAACUUCCCAGGGGGGAGAUUCCCUUAUGAGUGUCUGGAGGCAGAUAUAAUGGCAGACAUUGGCCUGGAAGAGCUCAAUGGCCUGGCAGUGGAAGUCAUGAGAAGGCAGAUGCAAGUGAUUUCUGGAUGGCUGCAUAUCCUUGAGGACCAGGAUUCCACCUGGUGCCAUAAGGAGGCUGUGCCCUUUACUCUGUUGGUAUCAGUCUGCAUAGCCAACCUGUGGCUUUAGAUGCAAUGGUUAAGUUUCACAGGCAUCAAAACCCUGAUGGAGUUAUCCCCUCCUCCCUCUUUCCUUUGCUUCCAGGGAUAUCCUUGCCUACCCCUUCCUAUCUCCCAGCGGUCCUCAGGUAGCAGUUGAUUUAUUUUACACCUCUGCUUAGGCCUCCUGCCUGGAGAUGAGCCAUGCUGUUGUGAGAUUUUUAGCUGCUGGAAGGCUAGAUAAUCACUGGGUAGUAUCACACAGGUGUGUCUGGUUUGGGAUGUUACUCCUCUGAAUGGAUAGGAGGAUGGUACCAGCCAUGACAGAAACACCAGCAUUAGGUAUUACUACCUGCCUCUGUCACCCAGAAUUUCUUCUCUUCCAUCUUCUGUGAGCAGGGUUUGGCUUUGUAUCCCUCCCUUGAUUGUUUCCAUAACACUCAAGCCUUUGCUCGAAGAACAUGCUCAAUAAGUGUUUCAUGUCUGC